AAAAAAAAAAAUAAGAGAGAAGCGAGAAAGGAAGGAAAAACGUAGAGAAAAGCUGUACAAUUCUCGCGUAAGAAGCGACGCGUGUCACGUUCGUUUCGCGAAACGCUUUUCAACCCUUUCGAGAUAUGCGACCGAGCGUCGUCGACACGUUUCUUGCCGAUAUUUUUCUGGGUUUUAUUUAUUUAGAAGUUCUUUCUUCAUCAACCGUCCCGGACGUGAAAGCACGACGAAAGAAACACGAUCGAUGACGCGCGAGGUCCACGGGGGGUUAUUGAGCGAAAAGGACGAAACGUACGCGAUUCGUGCGAAAGGGAAAUGGCGAUAUCCCGAAGGGGGAUGUGACGUAUCGAAGGAACGAGCAGAAGUUCCCUCGACGAGAGACGAAGGUGCAUGCACGUCGUCUGCGUGAAUGUCAGAAACGCGAGAAGGCGUAGAAAGGAAAUUUCUGACAGAAAAUCCCGUCUGCGUUGGCGGCGGUGGAUAGAAACUCUCUGCUCGUUGUUGAGAGUUCUGCUCGUUUCUUUUUACUAACGCUGCAACUACCAGCGGACAGGGUGGGAAGUAUUGCGCCAGAGAGAGAGAGAGAGAGAGAGAGAGAGAGAGAGAGAGAGAAAGAGAGAGAGAGAGAAAGCGCGAGAGAGUGAGAGUGAGAGAGUGAGAGAGAGUGAAAGGAAGCAGUAACAGGGCGAUAGAGAUCAUUACGGAAGGCAAAGUAAAAUAAAAUAAAAUAAAAUAAAAAAUAAAAUAAGGGACAAAAAAAAAAAUGAUUCGCGACGUUGUGGAAUCUUUCGUGGACAAUCACGGCCCGACUAUAAUUGUAAUUGUAAAACAAAGUGCAACACGCUGCCUUGCUGAACAGUACAAGUACAAAACGAAUACAAAUACAUAAAACAUGUCUUCGAUUUAAUGGAUGGAAAUACGAUUCCGGUAGUUAAGAUAUCAAAAAAAAAAAAAAAAGAGUACGAGAGAAAAAAAAGGAGAAGAAAAAAAAUGAUUUAAAUAAGUAAAUAAAUAAAUAGGGGGAGAAGAAAGAGAGGAUGACGAAGGGGAAUGAACAAAGCGUUUUAAUCGUAGGGAAAUGGGAAAGAGAAAAAACGAGCCUCCGUUGUAUGUAAGCAACGCCGCUGUUCGUCGAAGCGUGUUAUAGGACGAGAGAAAUGCGACACGGCGUGCGUUCGUUCAGAAAUACCUCAGUUGCCGUGGCCUCAGACACACACACACACAAACACACAUACACAUACAUAUAUACACACACACAAAAAGAAAAGAAAAGAAAAACGAAAAAGAAAAACGCGCGUAACCGUUCGUUUCGAUCACGCGUCUUAUCUAUAUUAUGUCCGUCGUUGUAUCGAUCGCUAAGAGAGGCUUCCUUGUAAAUUUUUUGUACGUACAAUUUUCAACGCCGAACGAAACGAACCUGGAACAGGAACAGGAACAGGAACAAUUCGCUCUGUGUAAUCCAUUCGCGUGUCUUUCCUUUCCUUUCGUUUCUCGUUCCGCUUUUUGUGAACA